rnacentral:rRNA from 1 species
AUUGAACGCUGGCGGCAAGCCUAACACAUGCAAGUCGAACGAGUGGCGGACGGGUGAGUAAUGUCUGGGAAACUGCCUGAUGGAGGGGGAUAACUACUGGAAACGGUAGCUACUACCGCAUACCAUCGGAUGUGCCCAGAUGGGAUUAGCUAGUAGGUGGGGUACAGGCUCACCUAGGCGACGAGCCCUAGCUGGUCUGAGAGGAUGACCAGCCACCCUGGAACUGAACCACGACCAGGACUCCUACGGGAGGGAGCAGUGGGGAUUAUUGCACAAUGGGCGAAAGCCUGAUGCAGCAAUGCCGCGUGUAUGAAGAAGGCCUGCGGGUUGUAAAGUACUUUCAGCGGGGAGGUGUUACCCGCAGAAGAAGCACCGGCUAACUCCGUGCCAGCAGCCGCGGUAAUAC